AGAGUUUGAUCAUGGCUCAGGAUGAACGCUAGCUACAGGCUUAACACAUGCAAGUCGAGGGGCAGCAUUGGAGUAGCAAUACUCAGAUGGCGACCGGCGCACGGGUGAGUAACACGUAUCCAACCUGCCGCUUACUCGGGGAUAGCCUUUCGAAAGAAAGAUUAAUACCCGAUGGUAUAAAGAGUUCGCAUGUUCUCUUUAUUAAAGAAUUUCGGUAAGCGAUGGGGAUGCGUUCCAUUAGAUUGUUGGCGGGGUAACGGCCCACCAAGUCUACGAUGGAUAGGGGUUCUGAGAGGAAGGUCCCCCACAUUGGAACUGAGACACGGUCCAAACUCCUACGGGAGGCAGCAGUGAGGAAUAUUGGUCAAUGGACGCGAGUCUGAACCAGCCAAAGUAGCGUGAAGGAUGACUGCCCUAUGGGUUGUAAACUUCUUUUAUAAGGGAAUAAAGUGAGGGACGUGUCCCUUUUUGUAUGUACCUUAUGAAUAAGGAUCGGCUAACUCCGUGCCAGCCGCCGC
rnacentral:rRNA from 1 species